ensembl:lncRNA
GAAAAGAUUCCUUCAGUAGUAGAAGAGGCAGGACAUACAGCAGUUUUAACAGCUCUCUCAGUAUUGUUCUGUGUCUCGGAACUGCAGGUUUUCCACAAAAGAAAAUUCGGUUGUGUCAAGUGGUAGACGCUGUGCUCUGAGCCAAGAAAGGGAUGGAGGAGGCAUUGUCCUGGCAAGCACUGGGCUGCGUGCGUGUCCUCUGGUGAGGAGAGAAACUUUCCGCUGCGCUGCCCCUCCAGCUUCCUCAAGAGCAACCAUGGUGAUGGUGUGGUUAUUGUUUUUCUUUGGGCAUGGGCCAAACCACGCAGAUGGCAUACUAGGACGAGCCUGUGGUAAGUACACCAAGAGUUGACAUUUGUCACUUGCUGCUACCAGGAGGCAAAAAAUGGUGUUCACAAGGCACUCGUGAGAGCAUGAUCAUGUGCUUAAACAAAGCAUUUACCAAAGAAGUAUGCAAUUUUCUGAUGUGGUUGCUUCUUUCAAUAGCCUCUUCCUGUCAUGAUGCUGAUAAGUCCAUAGUCAACACUGUCACUCCUUUUGUAACAUUUUUAUAAGCUCCCUUCCACUUCAGCAUUAGGAGACUCAGCUCUACGCUCUCCAGGUAUUCCCACUUGGUUCAUAACGUCUCUCGUCAUUCUCCCGUAAUGGUAAGAAACUGUUCAUUACUUCGGAUCAAACUGUGCCUUUUAGGCUGGUUAUAGCACCGUGAAUGGUACUCCAGUGGCUUAUUUGAUUGAUGAGUUGUAAUAACUGCUUUUGGAUCCCUUUGUUGUGACAAUAGUUCUUCAGCUUCAUCCAUGUAUAAUAAAUAGCCUAACAAACACAUUAUUUCAUUUCUUUAUUAAGUCAUUAAUUACACUGCAAGUUCUUUAACUGCAUCAGAAGAGUUUCUGGAUAAAACCAACUUACUUAUUGUCACCAUUGUUGAAUGCACUACUCUUACAUGGACGACUUAGAUGCAAAUCUAUACAUAACAGAACCUGCCCAACACCAACACAAUCUUUUCACUUAACACUUAUAGUCAAAUCACAUUUUACCUAACCUGGAACCAUGUGUUUGUUUUGGUUAUAGCAAGAUCAAAAUGUUCUUUUAAAUGCCGUCCUCGUGGAUUAAGAGAGAACAUAUGGGCCACACAAUGAAAUAACACAAAAGCUGUAAUUCCUUAAAAAUGGAUGAAUCCCAAGAUUUUCCUGGGUUUCAGUCAGUUUUUUUCUCUUUGAAAAAAAAAAGUAGAGAAUACAGACAGUACAAACACAGAACAGCUGUUUACAUUUAAACAUAUGCCAUUCAGCUAGUCAAAAAAUUAUUCAGACACCAACAUUUCAAAGGCAUAUUACUGACAUAUGGUAUCUGACAUGUUUCCACAACUGACUACACUGGCUUUGAUGACAACCAUGAAAAUCACAUCUUUCCAUGUGAGCAGUUAGAGAAACAGGCAAAUGAAGACUUAGCUCGGGGUUUUGUAUUCUUACUGAUUCUAAAGGACUGCAAGAACCAAGGUAAGUCUUCUGGCUUUUCAAAACGUAGGCCUCAUUUGCUACAACCAUUGCAUACCCUGUUCCUCACCUCACCAUGAGACCCCACAAACAGCAGAGCAGAACUGCUGCUGCUAUUGAGCUGUUCUCCCAGAGGCAGGCAAAGAGACUCAAUUAGACACAACAGGCUAUUCCCAGGGCUAGUCUCCAAAAUGACAGCUUGAGAUCCUUGGCAUAUGGCUUGCGGUUUCACACACAGUAUAUGCAGGGUUGCUAUUCUGUUAUAGGAAAACUAGGUAUUAAAGCCUAUUGUGGAGCUCAGUCAGGUUAAGACAGGGCUAGAUACUGAAGUAUUCCAGUCCUCUCAGGACCUGAGGAUCUCUCAGUGCAAAAAGGUUCCCGGGUGCUUUGCAGGCCAGAAUCUUAAGCACCAACUUGGAGGCUGACAAGGAAUCCCUCACCCCUCUAACUCAUAUGUGGGCGUAGAAGGGGUAAUUGAGAUUUUUGCUUUAGAAACCACUGCCCAGAUUUUGUUUACAUUCUCAGGGGGGCAGUUGCUCAGCUCAGAGCCUAUCAGAGCAACUAUAAAAUAAGCAAAGGCCAUACUGAAAUUUACACAGACACCAGCUGAGAAGGCCAGGCUGUUGACAGACUGCUGUGCCAGCAUAUAUAAAUAAACAAACAAUUCAUUUAAAAAAAACCAAGCAUCUGCAUAAAACAAAAUUAGUGCAAUUGAACUCCCUUUUCCCACCACUUAAUUUGCUUGUCCUAAAUAAGUAUUUUUCUCUAUUAAAUAGUAACAUACUCCUCCACGGGGAUGUGCCUGAAUCUAGCAGUUCAUUCAUCAUUUUGGGUCUCAAACACCAAUCAGCUGAGGAGUGUUUCCCCGUGACUGCACUAAAUUAGGAAAAUUUCCAAAGCAUUAUUCUUUCUCUGGCCAUUUUCAGAGUCUAAUCCAGUACCCUUGCUGGUCCCACUGAUGCCUGGACAAGGCUGGCAGCUCAUAGCUGGCCCACAUCCAAGCACACCGGAGCACAGCAAGCAAGCUGCCCUCCCCCUGUAGGGACAUGAGGACUGUAGCUCAACUCGAGGUGCUGAAGACAGGCAGCACGCUAACUGGCAUUCAGUGUAAAAACACCAACAAUUGCAAUCGAACCUGCAGUUCACUUGUUGUUUUCUGUACUUGAAGUCCCAAGCUUUCUAAGUAAAAAUACUGUUAGCAUGCAUAGAAUUUCCAUGGUUUAGUUUAUCAGCCUGUGUUCUCUCUGGUGUAGAAAAGGAAGAAGAAGGGCCGUAUAUUUUCUUUUAGUCACCAGUUGGUCCUCCUUUAAGGACCUUGUAAGACAUUUUUUUUGUGUAUUGUUUCUCUGCAUAUGUGGGCAGCUUUACUACUUCAUCCCCCUCAGGACCACUUAACAACAUCAGCAAAGCAAUUAAGUGUAGUUUUCAGGAAAAUGCCAGAGGCAUUACACUGUCUGGAUGGGAGUCUCAACCCAAUUAUUUUCAGCUAGUUGUGAACUGUGGAAAGUGGACUUUACUUCAUUAUAACUUCAGUUCCCACUGAUUAAAAGUCUAGUGUGUUACAGACAGUAAGGAAAAAUGAAAACAAUUAAACUUUCCGUCAAUAAAAUGGCUGCAUAUUCUUCAACACAGGGGUUUACUUCUCUCCAGAGAAGUGAUUAAAAUGAACUGAUUGAACUAUAAUUUGAUUGACUGAAGAGCCUCGAUCCAUUGCACUAAAGCUUAAAUUCCAUCUUAUUGCUCUAUUUAACUCUGAAUAUAAAAAAAAAUUACUGGCAGUCUCACAAACCUUACACAGUCAUCCAGCUGAAAUUUCGUGCUACUCACAGGCUGUGGUGGAUUCUGUUCCUUCUCUGCAUGAUUCACAACAGGCUGAUGUUGAAGAGUGGCAAAGACACCUAAGAAAUGACAUUAAUAUAGCUUUAAAAUCGUGUACCUAUCACAGUCAUUUGGGGAUUCUAAACUCAACCAGAGAUAGAGUUGAUCCAAGACCACGAAAGAGAAUAAUGUUCAGGUUGUAUACAACUGUUGCAGCAAGAAAAUAACCUCCUCAUGAAAACCACAGCCACGAUGUGGCUUCCCACCACAGGUCUGCCUUCAGCAAGGUGUGAGGUUGCCAGAUGCACAGGUUUGCAUGCACACAAACAUACAUACGCCUCUUUCCUUCAAGGAGAUACUAAAGAAAGAGGCACAUUUAGCCUGGUUUCAAUGGUAAAUUGUGCUGGCUAAGAAUCAAGAUGCCAAGGUUCCCAGGCAAACAUCGUUUUCUUUGGACUUGGGGCAAAUUUCUACAGAGUGCUUAUUCUACAAGACUAUCAUCUCUACAGAUGAGUAGCUGUCCUGCCAAAUUCUGGGACUCCUGUUGCACUAACAAAAGCUAGUCAAGAAACAUUAAGACAUGCACGCUUUCAUUGACAAGCUACUAUGAUACAGAAAAUACCCAACUUUGCAUUCACCCCUCUGAAAAUUUAAUUGAAAUGACAUUCCCCUUUAGAAGGUUGCCACUUUAUUGUUUGACAUUUUAUUUCUCUAUUUCCACUUAGUAUUUUGAACUAAACACAGCAUUUGAAAUACAGCUGUACUGCAGUAGAAUUGAAUUGGAAUAUAUUAUAGCUUUAAAUUAAAUUAUGUUGGUAAUUAAUUGAAUGAGGCUGAGCAAGAUGGGAAAAUAAAGGUGGGCAACAAGCUCUGGGUUAAAUUCUUAACAUGCUUCCUUUCACAGGCAGCUCAAACUCCAAAGGAAGUCAAUAGGUACUUUUCCAUUAACAUCACCAUGAACUGAGACAUGUGAUCCUUGAGCUGUAGUAUUUGUUACUGAGCUCAGUCUGCUGUUGAGCUUUCCACGUCUGGCUGUGACAGACCUACAAUGCUAGCUUCACAAGCAAGCCGUAGAUCUAAUGCAAACAGCUCCAACCCUUAGAUACUGCCAAUCCCCUCCCUACAGGAAUUCUAACCACACUCAAGGGUUACUAAUUCACUAUGUUGUUUGGUUUUAUUGCUUAAGCAUAGUUCAUAUCACAAACAGGAAAUUCUCCAUAUUUGUUAGCCAAAAGCUACCAAGACUGUACUGGAGUCACUAAGGGAAUAUUGCUGCACUAAGGUAGAAUGCAGCCUCUGUCUAACUUAGAAGGUACACUUUUGACAAAUUAUGUAACUUACCUCUUAAUAACUGCCUUGCAUUGCUGGCCUCUUCUUUUGUUUCUCCCUUCAUUUUGAUUACCAAAUACUGUGUUCUUCUCUACUUCACCUCAGUAUCUGUAACUCCAAAUGACAGAUACGCCAUAACAGAAAAGGAGACAAGGGCAAACACUCAACCAGAAAUUCCUAGGUGCCUCUGGAGACUGCAGGAUGUUCGCUACAUUCCCUGUUCCCAGUUUUAUGUUGCACACACCAGAGGUACAUACAGGACCAAACAGCCUAAAUGCCUAUUUGAACCUUUCAGUUCUUACAUAGACAGAUAUAUUCUCGCAAUUACAAACCCACCUUUGUCUGCAUAACAGCCUCAGAAGAAGGAGCUGUGUUUGAAGUCAUUUAUAUUUUAUUUUUGUGCAGAACAAGAAACAUAUUUGACAGCAAAAAGACAAGCCCCAAGAGUGAAAGUAGCCUCAAGACUUCUCUUAUUCUGAAAUUAGACAGUGGCAUUUAUUUGUCUUUCAUAGUGCUCCUACAGCCAUGGCAGCAAACAGCGCAUGGGAAGGGUUUCUUACCGUGCUGACAGAAUGGUCAUGAGUAAGCUGAGCAGUGUGCAAACAGUGUCGAGAUGAGGGCAGGCCAGGGCCUUCUUCCAAGUCCUACCUGUGGGAGGCAGAUGAGGGACGAACAGGCAUUUCCUGACUCAAGCAAUUGCUUAAUAUAUCCCCCUCCCUGAAAAGCAUCAGCAACUGUUUGGACAGGAACUGCCAACACUUCCACCAGAUCGCACUGGACAUCAGGGAAAAAAAAAAGAAUGGGUCCAAUGGGGUCGAUACACUUUCUGCAUGUGUGGGAUCAGCAUUUUCUCUUUUCAAAAUCAAGUUGAUUUCAAAAAUCUGUAACUAGGAAAAUAUAUUAAAAAUGCAUUAGCCCGUAGAUUAAUGUUUGAAAGAUACCAUUUUAAUUACAGAGAGGUCAUAAUUCUCAGCUUUUGAGAAAAGGUGAUUAGUGCAAUUUCUUCAUUGAGUUAUAGUUUCACUACUUAAGAAAACAUUAUUUAAAGGGCAGAGUGUUAGCCAUUUACGCCGCACUGAUGAGAAUCCCAACAAAACAUAAGCAAACACUUGAAUACACUCUUCCUAGCAACCAAGGUCUUUCAUCAGAAAAGCAGCAUAUUUUUUGUUGGUUUUUGUGUGUGUGUUUUUUUUUUCCCUGAACAUUAUAUUGAGUCCAAUUUCUAGCUUGCAAUCCUUCAGCCAUCCAAUAUUCAUCAAAUCCCUGGAAUAGAGUUUUCGGUGAAGAUGUAAGCCAUUGACAAAGCCACCUCCCUGUUCAUGUGCUAAAAAAAUUAAUUGAACUUUUAUUUUUUCAAAAUCCAUAUCUGAAUGCUUGUCACCACUACUUCUGUGUGCCACUAUGGCAGGGAGGCCAUAUUUUCAGAAUUCUGUGCAUCCCUGACUUCCACUAUCAGAAAUACUGGGAGGUUAAUUUUCACUAUUAAUCUUCUUCACAUGCACCGACCUGCUGUGUGACUUCCUUAAAUUAACAGCAGCAUUUUAAGAAAUGCUGAAUUUCUACAAUUCUGACUGAGUAGAAAAUAGAGAUAUCGAAUACUUCCCUGGACUUUGGUCCGUCUUUACAGGCUGGGAUAGCUUUGAUGUUACUCAAGAAAUGGUUGUUUUGGAUCUCUGAAGUACUUCACUGGAUGCUGGAGAUCCAAUAAAACAAAACAAAAAACCCAAACCAGAGCUUUUAAGUUAAAUAUUAAGUAAAAAUAAGUGUACGUUGGUAAAGAAAGACAAAGACAUUUUGAAAGGGUUUUUCCACCAGGCAGUACCACUUAUUCCAUGAUAUAUCACCUCUUUUCUCCUAAGAAAAGAACUGUUUCAAACAGAAUUUUCUGCUUCCGUAUAUUCCUUCUUUUCUUACCUGAGGGUUUUUACUCCUUUCUUUCUUUCUUGUAGGAAGGAGACCAAUGGUUUUGUUGCCAACUCUUCGAGAAAAUCAGAGGAGCGACUGGGAAAUCUGUCUUCCAUGGAAAAGAGGAAAGAUGCUAAGGGACAGGAUGUACCCUCCUUGACAGUGUGGUCAAACAGCCAGCUUCCUCACUUGUCCCUAAAGAGCUCUCAGACAACUGUCUAGAAAAGUGCACAGUAUCCCCAGCUGUUAACAGCAGGAUAUACUGCAGCACUCCAGACUGCUGCUGCCAUGUCGUUUCAGUGCCUCCGGGGUCAGCUCAGUGUAUUAAAUUAACAGUUUUCCCAGGCAAUGCAAAAUGUCUGUGAACAGAAUGGUGCAGCAUAAUAAUGGGAUACAAGGGGAAGAUACCUGCUUAAAUAUGAAAUGUUUUGGUAAGAGCAGGAGACGUUGAAGUGGUUCUGACUUACAUGACUUAGUGCCAAACACACGUUGUCAUGCAGCAGUCCCAGCACGCUGUGUGUCUGUUCACCACCACUUCACAUUUUCAUAGCUUAUUUUAGAACAGUUGCAUUUUUUUUUCCAUCCUUAAUAAUUUAUGCGCUUAGAAUUAUCAAUAACGUGAAGCUUCAUUAUAAACUAUCUGGAGGAUUCUCAUCUGACUCGUCCCAUUAAAUUAUUAUUCCCAAACAUGAUUUAUAUUUAAUAAGACAUCAAUUGAACAUCAGUAAAAAUAAUAAUUAAUGAACUAUAUCUUCAUAGAAAUAUCAAUAGCUUAAAGACAAGCAAAUGCUGUGUACGGUCUGCAGGUCAGCUGUCAAACCUCUCUGAGAAUAUUUGUCUGUUUAGUAUUUAGAAUAUGAUAGUAAACCACACAGAUAUUUAAUUGCUGUGGUCUUCAGCUGAUUCUUGUGACAACUGUGGACCACGCCAAACCAUGAACCUGUAAGGCAGAACUGGGAAGUAACAAAGUGUUCUGUGUAGGUGAGGAGGUAAUCUCAAAACACUACAAAUGCCCAAGCAACUUCACGUUUCCACAAACAAAAUGUCAGAAGAAUUUUGGUUUGGGUAACUUUUUUUCUUUAACAUGAUCUACUGGAUUGAAAUGCUCUAUUUCUCCAUACAGAAAGUCAAAAUAAACAAUUUUACUGAUUGAAACUUCUGCCUAAAAACACAUUAAAAUAGCCUAAAGUUCAACAGUGUCGUUUGAGUCUUCUGUUCUAACAAACUAUUGCUCCACAGGACAAACUUCAUCAAAUAUUUGUAUUCAGAAAGAAGUGACAUUACUUCAUCCCAGGGAAUUGCAGCAAAGGCCCUUAAUCCUACUGCACCUUAUAGCAUUGCAGUAGUGGUUAUCACUCAUCAGGGACCACUUCUGUUUACAUUUCCUCAGCUUACACACAUCCCACAUGAGUCUUAAUGGAGGAGGAGAAAGGACAGGAGAAAAAGUUUUUCUGGAUUUUCUUCUUCAUUUCUAGUUUUUAUUUCUUACUUUCCUGUUCUGUUCAAAUUUCAUCAGGGAUUGAACAAAAGCUUCAGAUGGACAAGGUGACCACAUUGUCAGUAUCACACUUACCUUUGUCCAGGUUCAUUGGGAAGCAUUUACUCCCUGCUCCCUCAGACCCUCACUUAUGUAGGAUUUACACAAGGGCUUUGAUUGCACAUUCUGGAAGAAAGCCAAAAGACGUUACUGUCCUUCAGUGACAGCUUGAUGGUUUUUAAUAUUCGUUGGAUCUCCUUUUCAUCCACUGCACAUGCCUUUUUUAACUGCUCACGUCCACGAUUUGGCUUCUCCAUUACACAACCAAGGAUUAUAAGGGCAGCUGUCCUCUAAUGUAAAACACGAGUUGACGCAAACAUUGCAGUCUCAUUUAAAACUUUAAAGCCCCUUGAGCUUGAGAUACUUACAGCUCUACAGAGAUGUGCUAUUCAAACCCCAGCACAGAGAGGUUUCAGUUUAACUUUCUUAAAACGUUAAGAGCUGAUGGAACCAUAAAGACAUUCUGGUCUGACCUCCUACAUCGUGUUUUUACUCAGUCGCUUCCAUCUCGAUCCCCCCAACAUACUGAGACAAAUACACCUUUCUGAAAGGCUUGAUAUCUUAAUCUGCACCUGAAAAAUCUAUUACUCUACCACCAGUUCACACUAGCAUUAUUACCUCACACUCCAAAGCACAAUUGAGAAGCCCAGUUUUGUCACUCCCACCCCCAGCCAAUGAUUUUUACCUUUUCUCUGCUGCUCAGUGCUUUGGUAUUCCCUAUCUUGGUGCCAUGAGGGAGCUAGACACAUCGGAGGUUGUAGCAUUUCUACCACCCAGAAACAUGCAAGCAAUAGCAUGCAUACAUGAAGGUCUCUAGUAUGUCUUCUUACCUUGAAGGACUCACCAGAAUCCAGAGCCAGGUAUAUCUGCUGUGCUCUCCUCCUGACCUGGUCCAAGUCCAUUCCUUCCUGAGACACUCUCGCAGGGAAAUGAUGAAAAGUUUAACAUGGAAAGAACAUGCCCAUAGCUGUGAGGGACAGCUCUAUUUUUAAAGCAACGAGCUCACCACAUAUUCCAUUUUCUCUCACUUAAUCACACAACUUUUAAAAUGAUAAUUUAUUUUUUUUUUUCUGAACACAUCCAUUCUGGACUAGUUUCACCACCCUCAUUCGACAAAAUGCACGCUAAUUUUAAUGGAUGUUUUUCUUGAGUAAGAACGAAUACCACCUUUGGUUUCUGAGCCUUCUUUACAACAGAUUUGGCGAAAGUCAAAAUAAACAACAUCCAGCAAUUCACCUUUAGGUAGUGCAAAAACAGUCCCCAGAGUGACAGCUUUCAGUUCAUCUCCAGUGAGAGCUGUAUAAGCCGUAAGCUCUUCUAUAAACACAGCAAUGAAUAACGAUCAGUCUCUUACUCCUCUCAGUCUCUCGUGUGACAGACCCUUAAUUAUGGCUAUUAGAUUAUUAUUUUCUCCAGAGAAUCCUAUAAGGCAAAAGCAGUGUUCUUCUCUGGACAUCAAAGACAGAAUUAAGACACUGCUUAGGAAAGCUCCUCAGAAACAGCAGCUGUUCAUCCCCACUAAGGAAUGCCCUAUUUGAGACAGAGUGCGCAGCUGCAGCUUCACUGUCUGCUCUGUAUGAGGCACCCUGCAAAAACUGAUGCUCCGCUUUGAAGGGAAAGAUGCCCACCUAAAACACAGGGCAGCCCACCUCCUGCUAAGCUCUGAAAAACUAUUCAGAUUUCUGUUACCUUAGACCUCUGUAUCCUACAAAGAUCACCCAUUCUCAAUAAGUCCUGGACCAGUGAGGCUUGCAACACAACAGUACAAAAGCAGUAGCACAAAUUAUGACUGUGUAACAGAAAAGUGAACUAGAAUCCACCCACCUAAGGCACUGUACCACCAGCAUCUGUUACUGCACAUAUCUUUUUAUGUGUAACAUUUAUUGGCAUCCUUCGGGGAUAACUCUGCAUGCUCCUACAGUCAACUAGGAAGAAUGUCUGUCCCCCAAGAGAGAACAACAGGCCAGAAUCAAGACUCAGGCUGACUCCAAGCAACAAAUGAUUCCCGAACACUUUAUACAUAGGUAACACGAAUCAAUUCUUAAAUAGUCAUUACUAGAAAACUAAUGUAACUGCCUCUCAAGAGAAUUACUGCUUAAUACUAUUAUCUUCUGUGGGCAUGUAAAGCAAGAUAAGUAUAUAGAGCAGGUGAGAAUAUAUAUAUUAUGAUAACUUAUGUGGUUUAGGCUUGUUUUGGAAUACUGUAGCAACUUAUUGCUAGCCAACAUCUUACAUCAGUAAGAAUGUAGAAAGUAAUGUCUGGCAAUUUAUCAGUUCUUAAUAAAGCACAGUGUUUAGAAGUUUAACUGUUGAAGAUGUUCUUGAUUUUGAUUCAUCUGAUUUUUGUCUGGGCUCAGCACUAUGGCUAAUCCCUGUUUCCCUGGCUCCUUCAGGGUCUGACAGUUCCAAAUUCUUACUUGAUUGGACUUAAAAAAUAAAUAAAUAAAAAUUAGGAACUGCUUAAGCAGCACUGCCCCUAUCCGUCCCCAGCCCGUGUGUGAAAUUAGCAUUGGUUCAAAACACUGGAAAUUCACACGUGCACACUUAAAGCACAGGUUCCAGGAUGGACAUUGCACCACCUGUGAAUUCCCCAACCUAAAUGCAUACUGUCACUCACUUAAGUGAAACCCAAGUAGCCUGUAUGUGCCAAGCAGGUGAAGUAUUUUCAUAUAAACACGUUUGUAGAGGUAGGUUCUUUCAGAGUUUCACAGACACGUGGUUACUAAGCACAAGAUAAGUAAAUUUAAAACAACUCUGCCAAAAAUUAAACUGGUUCCACACCUAUAAUAAUUACUUUGAUGCUUCUGAGGCAUGACUGCAUUUGAAGCAGAAUAUAUUAUACCACACAUCACAGUUGUCCAGAGCUGUCAUAAGCCAUUAAGAUAUACAAAGUCACGAUCCUCAGUUACACCCUUAGACAAUGGGUAACACUUCUUUGUGAAUGCUUCUCUGUCCAAGUAUCUCUUGCUUGCAUGCAUCAGAUGCUCUGUGAGAUACAUCCCUCAGCUGUGGCAGCUCAGCACCUUUCCACCAAUUUAAGUCAGCUGAUUGGGAUUGCUAAAGAUAGCUCUCAUGUCAUACUGAGCUCUCAAAAGUGUUCUGAAAUGGGACAUUUAAACUAUUUACCACAAUUCUUGUUGCAGUUUAAAAGCUGCACAAUGUUUUUGAAGCUUUGUGAUUCCAGAAAUCCAGUGUCUAAAUGAAGGUCUGCUGGGAAAAAAAAAAAUAGCUGAUUUGUCACAAAAAAAAAAUCAAUCUUCCACUGCCCAAUUCCGUUCUUAAUGAAUGAGACAAUUCAGAAACCUAUGGGAACAUGCUUUAUUGAUUCAUUCACAAGUCACUCAAACCCACUGCCUCGGUUCCCUCCGAUAAGACAAACCGCACAGCGCUCCUGGUGUACUGAAUUGCAGGAAAAGCCAAUGACUCCACAGCUGUUCUGCUGGAAGUCCAGUGAGACUAAACACAGCCAAUAAAUCUAAACGCAGCACACCACUAGGUUAAUGAUAAAUGUGUGUAGAAGACAAAGAGACUUGCAUUUCCUCUUUAUUAUCCCUUCAGUUGAGCCACUGCCUUAUCUGUAAUUUAUUUACCCAGGACAGUUGGGCCCAGAUGCGUACCUGUUUUUCCACUGAAGUACUUGUUUUUCUCCAUUUUGCAGAUGGAUUAAAUAAGCCAGGAGGAGGCCAACCUACAUGUGUGAGGUCACACAGAGAACUGUAAUCUACACUGCAGUAGAUGCCUGAAUCCAUUCAAGUUCAAGACCUAAUUUGGCAUAAAGCUAGUGUGUAGCUGUACUGCACUGUAUAUUUUAUAAACAUAUCUUUCAAUAAUCUCCUGUGCUUCUCAUGAAAGCAAUAACAAGCAGUAAGAACAGCUGAGUCUGUAUUGGGCAAGCUUUCCUAUUAAAUUCCAGCAAUACAUCUCAGCUGUGACCUGUAGCAAUUUGGGUAACCUAAUAAGGCUGACUGUCCCAUAAGAACCAGGGAUGAUACGCUGUCUACCCGCAAGAUAUGAGGAAGUACAAGAGAGCAACUUUACAGCAAGUAUCACCUAGCAGAGCAAAAGUGAACCUAAAAAACAGAUCUAAGAAAAUACAGUAAGAGACAACACAUAUGUGAGAAUAGACCAUUUGUUUAUAUAGUCCAAUAGAUACUUACCACCGUUUCAACAUUCAUUUCCAACUCAAAACAUCACAUCUGCAUGUCCUGUUUAACAGAGUAUGCUACAUGGGGAUGUCAUGAAGGACCUUCUGGUAACUACAGUUAGUACAACUACUCCAGUGCACGUUACCUGAAGUUGGGCAUUCUGUCAGAUUCGCCCACCUUUUCCUAGAAAUCCAAAAGGUCUUCUGCCUUACGAUGCAAUAGCAUUUAAAGGACUGCUCUUAAAAUCAUUCUAAUAUAUAUGCUACCUUUACAUGUGCAUUUAAUAAGUGGGCACAGAUCCAGUCAGGCAUACGCAAGUCUCUACUUCAAAACUCACCUCUUCAGCUGUAUUAUGAUUUCCAUCCCCUAGUAGUUCUAGUACAAACUUUUGCACAGAAUGGCUUCAGAAAGUGGUCUCUGCUCUCAUGUAUCUGCUGGAUAUAUAAAGCAACAAGCAAUUUAGUGGUGUACAGGAGAAUUAAACAUUUUUUAUGCACUUCAAUGUUUCCCCUAAUUCUGAAAAUCAACCAAAACCUUCAACAUAAAAAUCACUGUUCCUUUAGAGAUGUCUCUCAGCAGGGCGGUGCUCACAGCCACAUUGUCACUGUGUGUUCAAAGCCGUCAGCACUCAACGUGCUAAGAAGCGACACUGAAUUCUGCAAUCAGAAGCACAAAGUUUCAAAAAGAUUUCAGAAUCUAUGUGAAUAUAAAUAGCUGCACUGAAUGCUUCAAAGGCCGAAAACGUCGUAGAGAUUUACGCUUCAGUCUGUUUUGACAGAUAAACAGACAAAAACAUAUUUCGUAAAGGAGCAAUAAGACUUCCACUGUAACACUUCCCAUAAUUAGACCGUAAGAGACACUGAAAUACUUACAUUCACUGUAUAGAAGGCUUAUGUCUCACUUCUGCUUACUACUUGAGCUCCUGAAAAGCACCCAAUUGUCUAACCUUAACAUGUAUUAACGUGAGCCCCAAGCUUUCUGCACAUGUUCAUACCCACCAUUUAUACCAUCAUCUUCCCCACCCUGCUGACUUCUUAUUGUUUAGUGGAAAUAUUCACAUUUUCCAAAGGUUUUUUUUUUCUUCUGAAGCAGAACCUGAUGUUGCUUAAUGCUCAGUGUUAAGCAUUAAUACACACAUCAAACUAAAAACGUUGAUAAAACCUUCCACUGGAAGGAAAUGCAAUUGGAAAGAUGCUUUUUCUAACGGCGCUUCCUGUCCUUCGCUCCAAAUGACUGAAGAUCUUUUUAUUGUUCUGUGUUCUCUCUUUAGUGUGGCACGAUUUGAGUUCCAAAUCCCCCAAGAGUUCUGUGACCAACCUCCUGUGAGUUUCUGGGAUGUAAAGGUCAGAGCUGAAGACGGCAUGGACAGAGUGUACAGAAGAAAAGUCUCAGAACCUCUUGCUUCAAAUCCAUCACUUUCAGAGAGAAAAAACAGACAGCAAAGCACUCCUCUUUUAGAGGCAAAUCAGCCAUGGUGGGAACCUCUCAAACAACUGAGAACAACUGAAAACGGGCACUCCUGAAAUCAAGGAGAGAGGAUGGCUUUCCCAGAGAACUUCUGCACGGAGAUCUGGCUUCUGAAUUUCUUGGAUUCCUUAAAUGAAAAUCUUACACUGGGAAUUCCAAACAAUACAGCCUGUAACGUUUGGCUAGCAUACAGCACUCAGUGCAACCCCCCGGGCCGUGUUCCUGGACUCGUCCCAUCCCCACACUACAAAGAUGUCUUUCCUCAGCCAGCUCUGCUGCCAGCCAAGUUCCUGACAAGGUGUUGGUGCUCUGGUCUGAACAUUGGUUAAUCUUCCCCAUGCUGGCUGGCUCCGUUGGUCUUAAAGAAGCACCAUCCAAUCUCAAUCCCAGUGUUCCUUAACUGCUUCAUUCCCUUUCACAUUUUCUAUUUUUUAUAAUCACUUCUUAGGAACAACUGUAAUACUACUAGCUAGUGGAACAGGUGUCGUUACUAAUAAAGCCUGUAAGAAGGAAAACCAGUGUCCCACCAAACAUAUGUAGAGGAUGCACCUUCCAACAUUAAAGCUCUGAUUUGCAACCUGAAAGAAUUCUCU